UAACGCGGAACGGCCAGCUGAUACUGCAGUGCUAGAGUGCAGAAGGGGCAAUCGGAAUUCUUGGUGUAGCGGUGAAAUGCGUAGAUAUCAAGAGGAACACCUGAGGUGAAGACGGGUUGCUGGGCUGACACUGACGCUGAGGCGCGAAAGCCAGGGGAGCAAACGG
rnacentral:rRNA from 1 species